UACGUAGGUGGCAAGCGUUGUCCGGAUUUACUGGGCGUAAAGCGCGCGCAGGCGGAUCGGUCAGUCCGGGGUGAAAUCUCACGGCUCAACUGUGAGCGGUCCCCGGAUACUGCCAGUCUCGAGGUGUCUAGAGGAGAGCGGAAUUCCCCGGUGUAGUGGUGGAAUGCGUAGAUAUCGGGAAGAACACCAGUGGCGAAAGCGGCUCUCUGGGGACCACCUGACGCUGAGGCGCGAAGCGUGGGGAGCGAACCGG
rnacentral:rRNA from 1 species